rnacentral:rRNA from 1 species
GACGAACGCUGGCGGCGCGCCUAACACAUGCAAGUCGAACGAGAGAUGAGGAGCUUGCUCUUCAAAUCGAGUGGCGAACGGGUGAGUAACGCGUGAGGAACCUGCCUCAAAGAGGGGGACAACAGUUGGAAACGACUGCUAAUACCGCAUAAGCCCACGGCUCGGCAUCGAGCAGAGGGAAAAGGAGCAAUCCGCUUUGAGAUGGCCUCGCGUCCGAUUAGCUAGUUGGUGAGGUAAUGGCCCACCAAGGCGACGAUCGGUAGCCGGACUGAGAGGUUGAACGGCCACAUUGGGACUGAGACACGGCCCAGACUCCUACGGGAGGCAGCAGUGGGGAAUAUUGCACAAUGGGGGGAAACCCUGAUGCAGCGACGCCGCGUGGAGGAAGAAGGUCUUCGGAUUGUAAACUCCUGUUGUUGAGGAAGAUAAUGACGGUACUCAACAAGGAAGUGACGGCUAACUACGUG